AGUGAAGCGGCAAGAGCUCAAAUUUGAAAUCCAUCUUCUUUUGAGGUUGGAGUUGUAAUUUGUAGAAGAUGCUUUUGACAAAACUCCUUCUGAGUUCCCUGGAAUGGGACGCCAUAGAGGGUGAGAGCCCCGUCUGGUUGGAUGUUGAGUCUUGUAAAGCUCUUUCAACGAGUCGAGUAGUUUGGGAAUGCUGCUCAAAGUGGGAGGUAUAUGUCUUCUAAAGCUAAAUACCGGCUAGAGACCGAUAGCGCACAAGUAGAGUGAUCGAAAGAUGAAAAGCACUUUGAAAAGAGGGUUAAACAGUACGUGAAAUUGCUAAAAGGGAAGCACUUAUAACUAGACAUGGCUGUUUUAUUCAUCCAGGCAACUGGAGUAUUUAGGACUGCCAGGCCAGCAUCAGUUUGCUGCAGGGGAUAAAAGCACCUGGAAUGUGGCCCUUUUUAAGGGUGUUAUAGCCUAGUGUAAUGCCCUGUGGUAGACUGAGGAACGCGCUAUAUGCACGGAUGCUGGCAUAAUGGUUAUCAGUGACCCGUCUUGAAACACGGACCAAGGAGUCGUCCUCGUAUGCGAGUGUUUGGGUGUAAAACCCCUACGCGGAAUGAAAGUGAACGCAGGUGAGAGCUUCGGCGCAUCACCGACCGAUCCUGAUGUUCUCGGAUGGAUUUGAGUAAGAGCAUACGGGGCCGGACCCGAAAGAAGGUGAACUAUGCCUGCGUAGGGUGAAGCCAGAGGAAACUCUGGUGGAGGCUCGCAGCGGUUCUGACGUGCAAAUCGAUC
rnacentral:rRNA from 1 species